rnacentral:rRNA from 1 species
UACGUAGGUGGCAAGCGUUGUCCGGAUUUAUUGGGUUUAAAGGGUGCGUAGGCGGCUUUGUAAGUCAGUGGUGAAAUAUGGCAGCUCAACUGUCAGGGUGCCAUUGAUACUGCGGAGCUUGAGUACAGAUGAGGUAGGCGGAAUUGACGGUGUAGCGGUGAAAUGCUUAGAUAUCGUCAAGAACACCGAUAGCGAAGGUAGCUUACUGGGCUGUAACUGACGCUGAGGCACGAAAGUGUGGGGAUCAAACAGG